GGGUCUAGAUGGGGGGCGAUCGUUCUGUAUUAUUAAUUUCUUAAAUUAUUUGUCUCCAUUAUUUAUCUUUUUGUCCAUAAUUAUCUAUUUUUCAUUAUUCUUCUAUAUUUCUUUAUAUUUUGGUUGAUGUUACUGUUCAUUUAGCAAUAAUAUGUACACCCCACGCUGACCCUCAUAUUUUACUACCCAUCGGUCUUGUUGAAAUAACUUCUCAUUUAGGACAUAGUUCACGCCCUUUUAUUCGUUGCCUUAUCGAUCAUGCAAGUAAUAGAUAUGUAAGAACAGAAAUAAAUACAGUCGGGGAUUACGUUAAUUUACCAUCCUAUGACAACUGAUCGAUGCUAUCUCAUCGGUUAGCAGACGUACCAGGUUUUUAAAUAUAAUCAUUUCCUCCUUAGCUGUGGGAGCACCGCAUAUUAAAUCUCGCUUCAGAGCACAAAAGAUCAGUUUGUGAUUAAAACUAAAA
rnacentral:lncRNA from 1 species